GUUCGAUUCCCUCUAUCCCCAACGAGACACUUUAAUUAACCGAUUUC
rnacentral:tRNA from 4 species